rnacentral:rRNA from 1 species
GACGUAGGGCGCGAGCGUUGUCCGGAUUAUUGGGCGUAAAGAGCUCGUAGGCGGUUUGGCAAGUCGGGUGUGAAAACUCCGGGCUCAACUCGGAGACGCCACUCGAUACUGCCAUGACUCGAGUCCGGUAGGGGAGUGCGGAAUUCCUGGUGUAGCGGUGAAAUGCGCAGAUAUCAGGAGGAACACCAGUGGCGAAGGCGGGUCUCUGGGCCGAUACUGACGCUGGAGGAGCGAAAGCGUGGGGAGCGAACAGGA